GACGAACGCUGGCGGCGUGCUUAACACAUGCAAGUCGAACGGAAAGGCCCUGCUUUUGUGGGUUGCUCGAGUGGCGAACGGGUGAGUAACACGUGAGUAACCUGCCCUUGACUUUGGGAUAACUUCAGGAAACUUGGGCUAAUACCGGAUAUGAGCUCCUGCUGCAUGUUGGGGGUUGGAAAGUUUCGGCGGUUGGGGAUGGACUCGCGGCUUAUCAGCUUGUUGGUGGGGUAGUGGCUUACCAAGGCUUUGACGGGUAGCCGGCCUGAGAGGGUGACCGGCCACAUUGGGACUGAGAUACGGCCCAGACUCCUACGGGAGGCAGCAGGGGGGAAUAUGGCACAAUGGGCGGAAGCCUGAGGCAGCAACGCCGCGUGCGGGAUGACGGCCUUCGGGUUGUAAACCGCUUUCGCCUGUGACGAAGCGUGAGUGACGGUAAUGGGUAAAGAAGCACCGGCUAACUACGUG
rnacentral:rRNA from 1 species